GAUGAACGCUGGCGGCGUGCCUAAUACAUGCAAGUCGAGCGAACGGACGAGAAGCUUGCUUCUCUGAUGUUAGUGGCGGACGGGUGAGUAACACGUGGAUAACCUACCUAUAAGACUGGGAUAACUUCGGGAAACCGGAGCUAAUACCGGAUAAUAUUUUGAACCGCAUGGUUCAAAAGUGAAAGACGGUCUUGCUGUCACUUAUAGAUGGAUCCGCGCUGCAUUAGCUAGUUGGUAAGGUAACGGCUUACCAAGGCAACGAUGCAUAGCCGACCUGAGAGGGUGAUAGGCCACACUGGAACUGAGACACGGUCCAGACUACUACGGGAGGCAGCAGUAGGGAAUCUUCCGCAAUGGGCGAAAGCCUGACGGAGCAACGCCGCGUGAGUGAUGAAGGUCUUCGGAUCGUAAAACUCUGUUAUUAGGGAAGAACAUAUGUGUAAGUAAAUGUGCACAUCUUGACGGUACCUAAUCAGAAAGCCACGGCUAACUACGUG
rnacentral:rRNA from 1 species